GGGGGUAUAUCUCAGUGGUAGAGCAUUUGACUGCAGAUCAAGAGGUCCCCAGUUCAAAUCUGGGUGCCCCCU
rnacentral:tRNA from 1 species